GAUGAACGCUGGCGGCGUGCCUAAUACAUGCAAGUCGAGCGAACGGACGAGAAGCUUGCUUCUCUGAUGUUAGCGGCGGACGGGUGAGUAACACGUGGAUAACCUACCUAUAAGACUGGGAUAACUUCGGGAAACCGGAGCUAAUACCGGAUAAUAUUUUGAACCGCAUGGUUCAAUAGUGAAAGACGGUCUUGCUGUCACUUAUAGAUGGAUCCGCGCCGCAUUAGCUAGUUGGUAAGGUAACGGCUUACCAAGGCAACGAUGCAUAGCCGACCUGAGAGGGUGAUCGGCCACACUGGAACUGAGACACGGUCCAGACUCCUACGGGAGGCAGCAGUAGGGAAUCUUCCGCAAAGGGCGAAAGCCUGACGGAGCAACGCCGCGUGAGUGAUGAAGGUCUUCGGAUCGUAAAACUCUUUUAUUAGGGAAGAACAAAUGUGUAAGUAACUAUGCACGUCUUGACGGUACCUAAUCAGAAAGCCACGGCUAACUACGUG
rnacentral:rRNA from 1 species